rnacentral:rRNA from 1 species
AGUGAACGCUGGCGGUAGGCCUAACACAUGCAAGUCGAGCGGCAGCACAGUACUUGCUUGCGCUUUCGGGGGGCGAGGGGUGAGUGGUGGCGGAGUACAUCGGUAUCUACGUUUGAUAGGGGGCGGAAGCAGGGGCAAAUACGCCAAUAGUGCUUACGAACUACGUGGGAGAGCAUCGGACCUUCGGCUAUCGCACGAGCCAAUGUCGGGUUAGCGAGUUGGUGGGGUAAAGGCCUACCAAGGCGACGAUCCGUAGCUGGUCUGAGAGGAUGAGCAGUCACACUGGAACUGAGACACGGUCCAGACUCCUACGGGAGGCAGCAGUGGGGAAUAUUGGACAAUGGGCGAAAGCCUGAUCCAGCCAUACCGCGUGUGUGAAGAAGGUCUUCGGGUUGUAAAGCCCUUUUGGUGGGGAAGAAGGGCAGUAGGUUAAUACCUCGCUGUUUUGACGUUACCAAAAGAAUAAGCACCGGCUAACUUCGUG